rnacentral:rRNA from 1 species
CCUACGGGAGGCAGCAGUGGGGAAUAUUGCACAAUGGGGGAAACCCUGAUGCAGCAACGCCGCGUGAGUGAUGAAGGCCUUCGGGUCGUAAAGCUCUGUCCUAAGGGAAGAAUACUGACGGUACCUUAGGAGGAAGCCCCGGCUAACUACGUGCCAGCAGCCGCGGUAAUACGUAGGGGGCUAGCGUUAUCCGGAAUUACUGGGCGUAAAGGGUGCGUAGGCGGCCCUUCAAGUCAGAGGUGAAAGGCUACGGCUCAACCGUAGUAAGCCUUUGAAACUGUAGGGCUUGAGUGCAGGAGAGGGGAGUGGAAUUCCUAGUGUAGCGGUGAAAUGCGUAGAUAUGAGGAAGAACACCAGUGGCGAAGGCGGCUUUCUGGACUGUACUGACGCUCAUGCACGAAAGCGUGGGGAGCAGACAGGAUUAGAUACCCGGGUAGUC